rnacentral:rRNA from 1 species
UCGCGUCCGAUUAGCUCGUUGGCGGGGUAACGGCCCACCAAGGCUACGAUCGGUAGGGGUUCUGAGAGGAAGGCCCCCCACAAUGGGACUGAGACACGGCCCAUACUCCUACGGGAGGCAGCAGUGAGGAAUAUUGGUCAAUGGGCGGAAGCCUGAACCAGCCAUGCCGCGUGCGGGAAGGAGGCCCUAUGGGCUGUGAACCGCUUUUGCCUGGGGGCAAUAAGGGCGUCGCGCACGUCCGAUGAGAGUACCAGGCGAAUAAGCAUCGGCUAACUCCGUGCCAGCAGCCGCGGUAAUACGGGGGAUGCGAGCGUUAUCCGGAUUCAUUGGGUUUAAAGGGUGCGUAGGCUGUGCGUCAAGUCGGGGGUGAAAUUCCGGUGCUCAACACCGGGGCUGCCCUUGAUACUGUCGCGCUGGAGUGCGGAUGCCGCCGGAGGAAUGAGUGGUGUAGCGGUGAAAUGCUUAGAUAUCACUCAGAACACCGAUUGCGAAGGCAUCUGGCGAAUCCGUAACUGACGCUGAGGCACGAAAGCGUGGGGAUAGAACAGGAUUAGAUACCCUGGUAUUCCACGCCGUAAACGAUGAUGGCUAACCGCCGGCGACAGACUGUCGGUGGCCAAGCGAAAGCGAUAAGCCAUCCACCUGGGGAGUACGUCGGCAACGAUGAAACUCAAAGGAAUUGACGGGGGCCCGCACAAGCGGAGGAACAUGUGGUUUAAUUCGAAGCAACGCGAAGAACCUUACCAGGUCUUGACAUCGAGUGAAGAAUCAAGAGAUUGGUUCGCCUACGGGCACAAAGACAGGUGGUGCAUGGUUGUCGUCAGCUCGUGUCGUGAGAUGUUGGGUUAAGUCCCGCAACGAGCGCAACCCUUACCAUUAGUUGCUACGCAAGAGCACUCUAAUGGGACUGCCGUUGACAAAACGGAGGAAGGUGGGGAUGACGUCAAAUCAUCAUGCCCCUUAUGACCUGGGCUACACACGUACUACAAUGGCAAUAGAACAGAGGGAAGCAAUACAGCGAUGUAAAGCAAAACCCGAAAAAUUGUCUCAGUUCGGAUUGCAGGCUGCAACCCGCCUGCAUGAAGUCGGAAUUGCUAGUAAUCGCAGAUCAGCAUGCUGCGGUGAAUACGAUCCCGGGCCUUGCACACACCGCCCGUCAAG